rnacentral:rRNA from 1 species
GUGGGGAAUAUUGGACAAUGGGCGAAAGCCUGAUCCAGCCAUGCCGCGUGAGUGAUGAAGGCCUUAGGGUUGUAAAGCUCUUUCAGUAGGGAAGAUAAUGACGGUACCUACAGAAGAAGCCCCGGCUAACUUCGUGCCAGCAGCCGCGGUAAUACGAAGGGGGCUAGCGUUGUUCGGAUUUACUGGGCGUAAAGCGCACGUAGGCGGAUUGGUCAGUUAGAGGUGAAAUCCUGGAGCUCAACUCCAGAACUGCCUUUAAUACUUCCAGUCUAGAGUCCAGAAGAGGUGAGUGGAACUCCUAGUGUAGAGGUGGAAUUCGUAGAUAUUAGGAAGAACACCAGUGGCGAAGGCGGCUCACUGGUCUGGUACUGACGCUGAGGCGCGAAAGUCAGGGGAGCGAACGGGAUUAGAAACCCUAGUAGUCC